CUGGCUUCCAACUUUGAGCACACUAGGGGCAUACGGAUAGUCUCUUUUUUGCUAGGGGCUCCCCUUCAUGUUGCAGAAAGGAGGGCCCCCAUGCACACUUGGGGACGUUGUCAUGGAGUGGCUGUUACAAUUGCUUACCCAAUGAUGGUCACUGAAUUCCAUUUGCUUUAGAGGCCUGGGACUGCACUAUAUCCUGCAACAUCUGGAUCGUCCUGGGACCUAUGCUCGGAUACUGUUUGUGGAUUUCAGUUUGGCGUAUAACACCAUCAUCCCUCAUACCCUCUGCUCCAAAUUGUCUCACCUCACUGUGCCACCUGACCUCUGCGAUUGGCUUUACAGCUUCCUGACCAACAGAAGUCAGCAGGUAAGGAUGGGACAGGUCACCUCGGAUACUCGAAUCACCAACACCGGUGCCCCCCCAGGGGUGUGUCCUCUCUCCACUGCUGUUCUCCCUCUACACCAAUGACUACACCUCCUCCAACCCCUAUGUGAAGCUUUUGAAGUUUGCAGACGACACCACCGUCAUCGGACUCAUCCAGAACAGUGAUGAGUCUGCAUAUCGACAGCAGGUGGACCAACUGGCGCUCUGGUGCAGUUGGAACAAUCUGGAGCUGAACACGCUCAAGACAAAGGAGAUGAUAGUGGAUUUCAGGAGACAUCCCCCCGUUAUGUCUCCCCUCACAGUCCUCGGCUGCCCUGUGUCCACCGUGGAGAACUUCAGGUUCCUGGGAACCACCAUCUCUCAGGAUCUGAAGUGGGAGCAGAACAUCAGCUCCAUCCUGAAGAAGGCCCAGCAGUGCAUUACUUCCUGCGGCUCUUGAGGAAAUAUGGUCUGCCUCAGGAAUUGCUGCUGCAGUUCUAUACUGCAGUCAUUGAGUCUGUCCUGUGCUCCUCCAUCACUGUGUGGUUUGGAGCCGUCACCAAGCAGGAUAGAACCAGACUACAGCGCACAGUGAGGACUGCUGAGCGCAUCAUUGGAGCCUCCCUGCCCUCUAUUGUGGACCUGUACUCUUCCAGGUUGAAGAAGAGGGCAGGGAACAUCAUAAAGGACUCCUCCCAUCCUGUGCACGGACUGUUUGAACUGCUUCCAUCUGGUAGGUGCUUCAGAUCCCUCCAAACU